rnacentral:rRNA from 1 species
UACAGAGGUCUCAAGCGUUGUUCGGAUUCAUUGGGCGUAAAGGGUGCGUAGGCGGCGCGGUAAGUCGGGUGUGAAAUCUCGGAGCUCAACUCAGAAACUGCCUUGGAUACUAUUUAUCUUGAAUAUCGUUGAGGUAGGCGGAAUAUGUCAUGUAGCGGUGAAAUGCUUAGAUAUGACAUAGAACACCGAUUGCGAAGGCAGCUUGCUAAACGAUUAUUGACGCUGAGGCACGAAAGCGUGGGGAUCAAACAGG